GUCUACGGCCACGCCACCCUGAACACGUCCGAUCCCGUCUGAUCUCGGAAGCUAAGCAGGGUGGGGCCUGGUGAGUAGUUGGAUGGGAGACCACCUAGGAUGACCAGGUGCUGUACGCG
rnacentral:rRNA from 1 species